GAUGAACGCUGGCGGCGUGCCUAAUACAUGCAAGUCGAGCGAACAGACGAGGAGCUUGCUCCUCUGACGUUAGCGGCGGACGGGUGAGUAACACGUGGAUCACCUACCUAUAAGACUGGGAUAACUUCGGGAAACCGGAGCUAAUACCGGAUAAUAUAUUGAACCGCAUGGUUCAAUAGUUAAAGACGGUUUUGCUGUCACUUAUAGAUGGUUCCGCGCCGCAUUAGCUAGUUGGUAAGGUAACGGCUUACCAAGGCAACGAUGCGUAGCCGACCUGAGAGGGUGAUCGGCCACACUGGAACUGAGACACGGUCCAGACUCCUACGGGAGGCAGCAGUAGGGAAUCUUCCGCAAUGGGCGAAAGCCUGACGGAGCAACGCCGCGUGAGUGAUGAAGGUCUUCGGAUCGUAAAACUCUGUUAUUAGGGAAGAACAAAUGUGUAAGUAACUAUGCACGUCUUGACGGUACCUAAUCAGAAAGCCACGGCUAACUACGUG
rnacentral:rRNA from 1 species